rnacentral:tRNA from 1 species
GACACUAUGGCCGAGUGGUUAAGGCGACAGAUUCGAACCUGUUCGAUCAUCUGUUUCGUUCUGCGAGCGCAGGUUCAAAUCCUGUUGGUGUCG